UACCAUGGUGGUAACGGGUAACGGGGUGUUAGGGCGCGACACCGGAGAGGGAGCCUGAGAAACGGCUACCACAUCCAAGGAUGGCAGCAGGCGCGCAAAUUACCCAAUCCCGACACGGGGAGGUAGUGACAAUAAAUAACAAUACGGGGUUCUUUAGGAUCUCGUAAUUGGAAUGAGUACAAUUUAAAUCUCUUAACGAGGAACAAUUGGAGGGCAAGUCUGGUGCCAGCAGCCGCGGUAAUUCCAGCUCCAAUAGCGUAUACUAAAGUUGUUGCAGUUAAAAAGCUCGUAGUUGAAUUUCGGGGUUCAUACGUUGGUCGGGCUUUUUGGUCUGUACUAGCGUAAUGGAUUCCUACCUUCUGAAUAACCGGCAUGUCAUUAAUUUGGUGCGCCGGGGAAGCAGGACUGUUACCUUGAAAAAAUUAGAGUGCUUAAAGCAGGCUAUCGCCUGAAUACAUUAGCAUGGAAUAAUGAAAUAGGACGGCAUGGUUCUAUUUUGUUGGUUUCUAGGAUCACCGUAAUGAUUAAUAGGGAUAGUUGGGGGCAUUAGUAUUCAAUUGUCAGAGGUGAAAUUCUUGGAUUUAUUGAAGACUAACUUCUGCGAAAGCAUUUGCCAAGGAUGUUUUCAUUAAUCAAGAACGAAAGUUAGGGGAUCGAAGACGAUCAGAUACCGUCGUAGUCUUAACCAUAAACUAUGCCGACUAGGGAUCGGACGAUGUUAAUUUUUUAAUGACUCAUUCGGCGCCUUACGGGAAACCAAAGUGUUU
rnacentral:rRNA from 1 species